rnacentral:rRNA from 1 species
AAACGGGUGCGGAACACGUACGCAACAUACCCUUAACCUGGGGCAUAGCCCGAAGAAAUUCGGAUUAACACCCAUAAGAUUAUAGAGUUGGCAAUCACUCAGUAAUUAAAGAUUUAUUGGUUAGGGAUUGGCGUGCGUCCUAUUAGCUAGUUGGUGGGGUAACGGCCUACCAAGGCGACGAUAGGUAGCUGGUGUGAGAGCACGACCAGCCACACGGGCACUGAGACACGGGCCCG